GAUGAACGCUGGCGGCGUGCUUAACACAUGCAAGUCGAACGGUGAAGCAGGAGCUUGCUCCUGUGGAUCAGUGGCGAACGGGUGAGUAACACGUGAGCAAUCUGCCCUGGACUCUGGGAUAAGCGUUGGAAACGACGUCUAAUACCGGAUACGAAGCGUGGGGGCAUACCCAACGCCUGGAAAGAACUUCGGUCCAGGCUGGGCUCGCGGCCUAUCAGGUAGUUGGGGAGGUAACGGCUCGCCAAGCCUACGACGGGUAGCCGGCCGGGGAGGGUGACCGGCCACACUGGGACUGAGACACGGCCCAGACUCCUACGGGAGGCAGCAGUGGGGAAUAUUGCACAAUGGGCGCAAGCCUGAUGCAGCAACGCCGCGUGAGGGACGACGGCCUUCGGGUUGUAAACCUCUUUUAGCAGGGAAGAAGCGAAAGUGACGGUACCUGCAGAAAAAGCACCGGCUAACUACGUGCCAGCAGCCGCCGUAAUAC
rnacentral:rRNA from 1 species